GUCUGGUGCCAGCAGCCGCGGUAAUUCCAGCUCCAAUAGCGUAUAUUAAAGUUGUUGCAGUUAAAAAGCUCGUAGUUGAAUUUCGGGAUCAAUAUUUCGGUCAUGCCGUUGGUAUGCACUGUUAUCAUUGAUUUCUCACCUUCUAAAGAACCGUAAUGCCAUUAAUUUGGUGUUACGGGGAAUUAGGACUGUUACCUUGAAAAAAUUAGAGUGUUUAAAGCAGGCUCACGCUUGAAUACAUUAGCAUGGAAUAAUGAAAUAGGACAUCCGAUUCUAUUUUGUUGGUUUCUAGGAUCGAUGUAAUGAUUAAUAGGGAUAGUUGGGGGCAUUAGUAUUCAAUUGCCAGAGGUGAAAUUCUUGGAUUUAUUGAAGACUAACUACUGCGAAAGCAUUUGCCAAGGAUGUUUUCAUUAAUCAAGAACGAAAGUUAGGGGAUCGAAGACGAUCAGAUACCGUCGUAGUCUUAACCAUAAACUAUGCCGACUAGGGAUCGGAUGAUGUUAAUUUUUUAAUGACUCAUUCGGCGCCUUACGGGAAA
rnacentral:rRNA from 1 species